rnacentral:rRNA from 1 species
GACGAACGCUGGCGGCGUGCUUAACACAUGCAAGUAGAACGGAGUGGCGAACGGGUGAGUAACACGUGGGUGAUCUGCCUUGCACUUCGGGAUAAGCUUGGGAAACUGGGUCUAAUACCGGAUAGUGCAAGAGGAGACCGGGGCCUAUCAGCUUGUUGGUGGGGUAAUGGCCUACCAAGGGGUCGACGGGUAGCCGGCCUGAGAGGGUGUAAGGCCACAGUGGGACAGGGGUAUGGGCCGUGCUCAAACUGGCGGCAGCAGCGGGGAAUAGUGGACAAUGGGCGGAGGCCGGAAGGAGGGACGCCGCGUGGGAGAUGAAGGUCUUCGGGUUGGAAACUCCUUUCGACAGGGACGCGGUACCUGUAUAGGAAGCACCGGCUAACUACGUGCCAGCAGCCGCGGUAAUAC